GAAAUCAAGAGUUGGAUGCUUAACUAACUGAGCCAUCCAGAACCCCAUUUCUUGGAUUCUAAGGACUUGCCUCUGAGAAAGGAAGUAGCCUAUGUGCAAUCAGUGUACAAGGACGUUGAAGUUAUGCUCACCCUCCUUUUUGGAUCAAGUCUCUACAUGAGGGUUGAGGCAAAUUCAAGAGGGCCACACAUUAUUUGAUAUUCUUCCCAUAGUGGCAUGGGAUCUGAUCCAACGCUUCUUGAGACAAGACUGAAGUGCUUGGGUUACGAGUAUAUAGUGGAUGAAAGUAUUAAGAAGACAUCAUUUCUCAGGGCAGAGGCCAUCAUAUCUCACAUAGCAGAAGAAUUCUUACUUCUCUUCCUGUCACUGCUCCUUUGGGGACUGGAAGGAACCAGCACAUGUGGAUAUAUUAUAUCACGAUUAACGAGAAUUGAACAAGUACUUUUCCAGUUGAAGUAAACUUUGUUAAAACGUUAUUGCCAAGCAUCUUGAUCGAAGUGGCAGGAAUUUCCAAGAGUCUCCUGGUGGGAGAGAAUUAUCUUUCUAAAGUUCACUUCUCUGAACAUCACACUGCUUUAAUUGGCCCACAGAGUAAAAAUAUGUCUUCAAGCUUCACUAUUAGCUGACUUGACCUGGCAGGAA